rnacentral:rRNA from 1 species
UAGGGAGUGAGGGAUAUUGGUCAAUAGCCCAAACGGGCGAACCAGCAACUUGGAGGAAUGUAUAGGGAAAACGGUAAAAAGUGAUGUACCUUAUAAUAUUAGUGAAUAAUAUUAAGUUGACUAUGUUAAUUAAAAUUCAAAGUAGAUAUAUGAUUAUGACAAUAUUUGCUUAUUUCCUGACCAAGACACGUGCCAGCAGUCGCGGUAAUACGUGGAAGAUAAGUGUUAUUCAUCUUAAAUAGGUUUAAAGGGUACCUAGACGGUUAAUUAAGCACAAAUAUGUACUAAUUAAACUAGAGUUUAAUGUAAGAAGGAUUGAGUACGGUGAGUGUAGAGAUAGAAUUCUGUCAUACCACUUAGGAACUGGUAAAGGCGAAGGCAACCUUUUAUGUAAAAACUGACGUUAAGGGACGAAGGCUCGUAUCAAAUAAUAGGAUUAGAUACCCUAGUAUUGUGGGCAGACAAUGAUGAGUGUCAUAUGUAAGAUAAAUUUUGUGUAUAAAUGAAAGUGUAAGCACUCCACCUCAAGAGUAACAUGGCAACGUGGAAACUGAAAUCAUUAGACCGUUUCUGAAACUCGUAGUGAAGUAUGUUGUUUAAUUUGUUAACCCUCAAAUAACCUUACCACAAUUUGAAUUACUAGUCAGAUUCUAGUAACAAGCGUUGCACGGCUGUCAUCAGUCAAUGUUGUGAAACUGUGGUUAGAUCCAUUAAAUUGACGUAAACCCUUACUUUAUUUAUUAUAAAGUAGUUCGCCGCUACAUUGGUAAUGAUAUAAGGACUAAGACAAGUCAUCAGUGUCUGAAUAUUGUGGGCUAUAGACGUGCCACAU